rnacentral:rRNA from 1 species
CCCUAGUAACGGCGAGUGAAGCGGGAAGAGCUCAAAUUUGAAAUCUGGCAGCCUUAUGGCCGUCCGAGUUGUAGUCUGGAGAAGCGUUUUCUGCAUCGGACCGUGUACAAGUCCCUUGGAACAGGGCGUCGCAGAGGGUGAGAAUCCCGUCUUUGACACGGACUGCCGGUGCUUUGUGAUGCGCUCUCGAAGAGUCGAGUUGUUUGGGAAUGCAGCUCAAAACGGGUGGUAAAUUCCAUCUAAAGCUAAAUAUUGGCAAAAGACCGAUAGCGAACAAGUACCGUGAGGGAAAGAUGAAAAGCACUUUGGAAAGAGAGUUAAACAGUACGUGAAAUUGUUGAAAGGGAAACGCUUGAAGUCAGUCGCGUCUCCCUGGGACUCAGCCUUGCUUUUUUCCGCUUGGCGUAUUUCCUGGGAUUUGACGGGCCAGCGUCGAUUUCGACCGUCGGAGAAAGGCCUUGGGAAUGUGGCACCUUCGGGUGUGUUAUAGCCCUCGGUCAUAUGCGACGGUCGGGAUCGAGGAUCGCAGCACGCCUUUUCGGCCGGGGUUCGCCCACGUAACGUGCUUAGGAUGCUGGCGUAAUGGCUUUAAGCGACCCGUCUUGAAACACGGACCAAGGAGUCUAACAUGCCUGCGAGUGUUUGGGUGCAAAACCCGGACGCGAAAUGAAAGUGAAAGGUUGGGACCUCUGUCGUGGAGGGCACCGACGCCCGGACCAGACCUUUUGUGACGGCUCCGAGGUGGAGCAUGCAUGUUGGGACCCGAAAGAUGGUGAACUAUGCCUGAGUAGGGUGAAGCCAGAGGAAACUCUGGUGGAGGCUCGUAGCGAUUCUGACGUGCAAAUCGAUCGUCGAACUUGGGUAUAGGGGCGAAAGACUAAUCGAACCAUCUAG